AUGCAGACCAGACAAGUAAGUAAAGUACAGUUGUAUAAUCAAGUAGAAGUAGUCUGUUGUUAUUCAACUUGUACAGUACAUUAUUUUCACAAAAUAUGCUAAGUUAAUUAUUAUUUAUCUAAAUCAUUUGAAGAAUCGAGUUUUAUCAGCAACAAUACGUUGGAUUGCUGAACAGCAUGGGUGAAAGAUUUCUACAACAGUACAUCUACAGUAGAUGUAACUAGUAAAUAGGAGGAUGGUGGUUGAACUAAUUGCUACAACAUUUUUCCAUUCAGAAAAAAAUAUGGGGACCGAGCAAGGCUAAACCAAACAAAUGCAAAUGCUACUUAAUGUUGAUAAUAAAAACCUGCCGUUGGAAUGGAUCGAGUUGAUGAGAUUUACGCCUUUCAUGCCAUUCCCCAUUGUCUUGGAACUUUUCAGUCAAACUUACAUCAUCCUCAUGAAAAUGUUUAAUACAUACCACAGAGCUUGCAUUGGGUUCCCAAUCUGUUCUAGAAAUUGCACGAAUCCACGCCCUACACAAUUCAGGAUUCUUCGGAAAGAAAAUGUACUAGUAACUCCUUCAUCUUUUACACUAUUUCUAUAAUUUGAUUUGCAACCAGGAACAACACAUGCUCGAGGCAUCUCAACAUCACUGUAUUACUUGUACUUCAUAAAUAGUGAAUAACACGAAUAAACAUGGUUUCUAAUUUA